rnacentral:rRNA from 1 species
AGUGAACGCUGGCGGUAGGCCUAACACAUGCCAGUCGAACGGCAGCACAGUAAGAGCUUGCUCUUACGGGUGGCGAGUGGCGGACGGGUGAGGAAUACAUCGGAAUCUACUUUUUCGUGGGGGAUAACGUAGGGAAACUUACGCUAAUACCGCAUACGACCUACGGGUGAAAGCAGGGGAUCUUCGGACCUUGCGCGAUUGAAUGAGCCGAUGUCGGAUUAGCUAGUUGGCGGGGUAAAGGCCCACCAAGGCGACGAUCCGGAGCUGGUCUGAGAGGAUGAUCAGCGACACUGGAGGGGGGACACGGUCAUGACGACUACGGGAGGCAGCAGUGGCGAAUAUUAGACAAUGGGCGCAAGCCUGAUCCAGCGAUCCCGCGUGUGUGACGAAGGCCUUCGGGUUGGAAAGCCCUUUUGUUGGGAAAGAAAAGCAGCAGGUUGAUACCCAGCUGUUCUGACGGUACUCAGAGAAUAAGCACCGGCUAACUUCGUG